UAUGGGCACUGAUUCUAAUGCCAGCUGCCCUGCUUCCCAUCCAGCUUCCUGCUUGUGGCCUGGGAAAGUAGUCUUGGACGAACCAAAGCCUUGUGUUCCUGCACCCCAUGUGGGAGACCCAGAAGAAGUUCCUGACUCCUGGCUUCAGA